UACGAAGGGGGCUAGCGUUGUUCGGAAUCACUGGGCGUAAAGCGCACGCAGGCGGCUCGUUAAGUCAGGGGUGAAAUGCCGAGGCUCAACCUCGGAACUGCCUUUGAUACUGGCGAGCUUAGAGUCCGGGAGAGGUGAGUGGAACUCCGAGUGUAGAGGUGAAAUUCGUAGAUAUUCGGAAGAACACCAGUGGCGAAGGCGGCUCACUGGCCCGGUACUGACGCUCAGGUGCGAAAGCGUGGGGAGCAAACAGG
rnacentral:rRNA from 1 species